UCUCAGGGUUGAGGCAGCGAAGGUGGUGGUGGCGGGGCGACGGUGAAAGUGGUGGCUGUGAGUGCUGGAGCUGAGGCCGCUUUUGCCGCCGCGGUGAGGUGUAGUCCUGUUUGCCGGCGUUUUCCGCUGAGUCAGAAGCGCUGGUGGUCACAGACUGCGCUCUCACCCACACUGAGGUCGAUCUGGAAGGAAUUUACUGAGGGGGCUCUCCAGCAGCUGGCUAACCGGGAAGGAAGUAGAACUAGAAGACAUGCUUUACUCUUCCUGAAGAAGAUACUUAAGCCCCUCAAGAAGAGAUUUAAUUUGAGCGCUGUGUUGAUUUGUGCAUUCCUUGUAAAGCACACACUAAAUUAGCUUCACAUCCCAGCCGUACCUUCAUCUGCAGCACACAUCUCUCCCCCAGCUCCUCUCAGCACUCACUUAGCCCUGUUCAGUUCCCCUGUAGGCACAGGUACACAUAUAUCAGCCUCUUGUAAUCAUGAAGACGAGGGACGAACUUACAAAGACACCCGGCACACUGUGACAAUCCUUAACUGGGAGAAAAAAAAAAGAGAGAGAGAAAGCAAAGAAAGGUAGAAUAAGAGCAAGAAAAAAAGAAAAGGAAAGAAAACUAGAAAGAUGCAGCAACCAGUAAAACGAUGGUGGCAAAGAUAAAAUGCCGAUGGAAAAAAUCCGUUAAAUGCAAAGUUUGAAAAAAACUUCCUAACUCGGUUAAUGCUGUGGAAAUAAUUCCAGUUCAUCUCAGUGCUAGUGAACGCCUAGUACAAAAUUCUUCAGAGGCGAGGGCUGGCUUAGUGCAGAGGAGAAACGUCGCUCCGUUGCCCUGUUGCAUCCAAAUUCUCCUUUCAGACAAGUUUCCGCGGCGUGAUGGAGAUGGGCAGAAGUCUGGAGAGUGCUUUCCUAUUAUAAGCUGUUAACUUGUUGCUGCCACAGCCGACUGACAGGCUCCCGGCGGCCUGAGGAGUAGUAUGCAAAUUUUGGAUGAUUGACACCUACAGUAGAAGCCAAUCACGUCAAAGUAGGAUGCUGAUUGGUUGACAACAAUAGGCGUAAACCUUGACGUUUUAAAAACCUGACACCCAAUCCAGGCGAUUCAUGCAAAUAAAGGAAGGGAGUCACAUUACCAGGGGCCAGAGAGACUUGAGUACGACCUCACGUGUUCAGUGGUGGAUAUUGCACAGACGUCUGCAAGGUCUAUAUAAACGCUACAUAAUGUUCAACUCAAUUGCUUGCCUUGGCCUUUCCCAAACUUGUCACUGGAAUAUAAAUUAUC
rnacentral:lncRNA from 10 species